rnacentral:rRNA from 1 species
UACGAAGGGAGCUAGCGUUGUUCGGAAUCACUGGGCGUAAAGCGCACGUAGGCGGACUCUUAAGUCAGGGGUGAAAUCCUGGAGCUCAACUCCAGAACUGCCUUUGAUACUGGGAGUCUUGAGUUCGGGAGAGGUGAGUGGAACUGCGAGUGUAGAGGUGAAAUUCGUAGAUAUUAGGAAGAACACCAGUGGCGAAGGCGGCUCACUGGCCCGGUACUGACGCUGAGGCGCGAAAGCGUGGGGAGCAAACAGGG